CCACGGCAUAGGCGGCCUAGACCGUUGCCUAGGGCGCCAUCUGGUGAGGGGGCGCCAAAUGGCAGUCUCCCUCUCAGUCUUUCUUUCCUUUUUUUUUAAAUUUUUUUUUAAUUCACUUUCUUAAUGCACCAUUAUGUUUACUCUCAGUCUCUCAACCUAUAAAUAACUACAAAUUUUGUGAAACUUAAAAUAAAACUCGUUUUCACUAAUCAUGACUCACAACUCUCGCGAGUUGUGAGUCACGCAUGCAUCCUUUUCCAUCUGAUCUGCGGCGCCGCCGCCGGGGCGGCGCCCCGCGCUACUACAGCAUGCUGUUGAGUUUACAAGGUGAGUGAGUGGGGGAUGGGCAGCGCAUCCCAUCAGUUUAUUGAUGAGAUGGUCGUCGUCGUAGCGCUGUCAUUUUUGUAAACAUAAAACUUUUAUCAUGAAAAGGCAGUCCAAGCCUUCGGGUGCUGCUUUCAGAAAGCGAAGAAGAGAAGAGGAGGAGAAACGGGCUCAAAGUCGAGGUAUAUAUUCUUUGGAUAAUGACAUAAUUCGACCUUUCAUCUGGAUGUCAAUUUACGAUUGUGCUAACGCUAGCUAAGUCAAAUGCUACUUAUUAUGUGCUAUAACCUACCUCUAUUUGUUGAAACAUCAUACAUUCUUGCCUGUGCCAGUUUAUUUAAUAGAGCAGACGUUUUACCUCGUUGGUUUAGUCACUUUUGUGCAUAAUCCACAAAUUCAUGUAAUGUGCAAGCAUGUUUCUUUUGAUCAGAUGCUCUGAGAAAAUAUCUACAGCCACGACAGGGGCCAACUGUAGAAGCUGCUGCAGAAGAGGCAGCAAGCUCGGUCUCACAGUUACCUUCUCCUGUGGCUGUUAGUGACAGUGACAGUGAACAUUCAUCUCAAGCAUUAAGCAGAAGCACAGCAGUGAUUGAGACACAACUUCAAAAUGUUGAUGCUGGAGCAGUCAGUGAAGCACCAAGCAGCAGCACUGUAAUUCUUCAGACACCACCUCAAACGGUUGAACCAGAAGGACCCAGCACCAGCAGUCUCAAUACAAUCCGCCAGCCUACAGGCGCUCCAUCAACAUCAACAGAUGUAUGUGAGCCCAUCUCAGCAGCCCCCAUUGAUCCCGCUGAUUGGCCACCCAACUUGUCUGAUUCAGAGAGGACUGAAUUGGUUAGUCGAGGACCACCUGUAAUAAGGUCAGACUUCUCGUUCCCCAAAAAACAGGAUGGAAGAAGUUGCCAUCACCGCCAUUUCUUCAGACUGUUGACCAAUGGGGAAAAAAUCAAAAGGUCAUGGCUCAUGUAUUCAAAAAAGAAAGA